rnacentral:sRNA from 1 species
GCAGAGCAUGGUAGUGCAUGCCUGUAAUCCCAGUGGCUUGGGAGGCUGAGGCAGGAGGAUCGAGUUCAAAGCCAGCCUCAGCAAAAGCAAGGCGCUAAGCAACUCAGUGAGACCCUGUCUCUA